GCCCGAGUGGUGAAAUUGGUAUACACGUACGCUUCAGGUGCGUAUGCCGCAAGGUGUGCUGGUUCAAGUCCAGUCUCGGGCACCA
rnacentral:tRNA from 1 species